CCAUUAUCAUCAAUUUCAUUUCUAAAGGCACAUUGACAAUUGUCGUUACCUCAAAAAUAAGGAAAGCAAACCAUUUGAUUAAUUGAUUUGACUGAUCAGAAUGACCUGUUGAAAAACUUUACAUUUUGAUAUUGGAACAAUCAAGUUUGGACUUUGAUGUAAGCAAAAUUGUCAAACAGUCAACUGAGAUGCGUUGUAACCUGCAGCAAUUCCCAGAUAGAGGCACAGAAAAUUUCAGAGUUGAAGUUUCAAUGUGAAAUGUCAAGUGAUUGGUGAAGAAGCUUUUGGUAUCAGCCUAUUGUCCCUUCUUCCGGAAACAGUAUGGGAAUGUCAAGGAAAAUGGUGAUGGGGUCAAAGCCACCAGAUUGUGUAAACAAGUGCAUGAAUUGCCAGCCAUGUAGGGCAACUCUAGCCAUCCCACCUCGCCAGCAGAGGAGUACUGAUGAAAAAGAUGACAACUAUUAUCUUCUUUCAUGGAAAUGCAGUUGCAGAGAUGAGCUUUUUUGACCAGGGGCGGAGCUAGAAGGUUACAUAUGGGUUCAACCGACAAUAGCGAAGUCAGAAAUUUCCCGUUUAAACUUGAAAGAAGUGAAAACAAUUCUCGAUAAAAAGUAUUCAAUAUAUGUUAUAUAUUUUUAAAAUCUAAUACUUUACC